rnacentral:rRNA from 1 species
AGGGCACCACCAGGAGUGGAGCCUGCGGCUUAUUUUGACUCAACACGGGAAAACUCACCCGGCCCGGACACUGUAAGGAUUGACAGACUGAGAGCUCUUUCUUAAUUCGGUGGGUGGUGGUGCAUGGCCGUUCUUAAUUGGUGGAGCGAUUUGUCUGGUUAAUUCCGAUAACGAACGAGACUCUGGCCUAUUAAAUAGACGGUGUAUGUUGAAAGAUAUCGCGCUCACUCAGGGCAAGCGGCGUCUAGCCGCAUGAAAUAGGGAUAUAACAGGGCUGAGAUGGCCUUCAAUGUGCGGGGAUGCGGGCACGCUACACUGAAAGAAUCCGUGGGUGAUUUUCCUAAUUCGGAUGACCCCCCUGACCCAGGUAAAUUCUUUCGAGCUUGGAAUAGGAAAUUGCAAUUAUUUCCCUUAAACGAGGAAUUCCCAGUAAAUGCGGCUCAUAAGCUCGCGUUGAUUACUCCCCUGCCCUUUGUGCCCACCGCCCGACGCUACUACGGAUUGCACGACUUAAUGAGG